ACUUCAGCACAGCAUUCAUUUCCUUGUCAACCGAUUUACGCACAGCCUCAAUGUCGAACACUUUGAAUAUUUAAAUUGAAAUGUCUACUAUCAUGAUCCUCAGAGAUGAUAGUCCUCUUCGUAUAAAUAGUCGUAAUGACCGUUACCUUCCGGAAGGUGGUGUGCUAUUUAAUUUAAGCAUUACACAGCCACACUUAACUGUGUAGCACGUUCACCCAAACUUUGCGCGAUUGUGAACAUGCGCCUAUUGAUGUGAAAAAUCCUUAGCACAUUCCAAAUCUUGCGCUUGCAAGGCUAUACAACCUAGAGGAGGCAAGAAAAUGUAAGUAAUUGGUCAUUCCAACUUUAAACCAGAAAAUGAGGCAACUUACCUUGGAAUGAAUAAACAAUUAAUCUGUCAAAAAUUUCCGUCAUUGAAUCUGCAUUUGAAAACCAAUUUGAAGAGCGUCAGUAAACCAACAAACGAAGCCCAUUGGGUAUAAAGCGUAAUAAUUUUACAAAGAGGAUCCAAUUUGUUGAAUUCAACUAAUUUAAAUCGUGCUGAAAUUGCAGGCAAAACAGGUAUGUACAUGGUGAUAGGUGUUUUUGUGUAUCAACUCGAUAAGUGAAAAUGAUGUGAAAAAUGUGCGCAAAGGGUGUUUAAAUCAGAUGUAUGCUAGUAUUAAUUCGCAUAGAAAAAUUGUGAGAUAUUUUCCAAUUGUGAUUCCAAGGUUGUAUUACCUUGCAUGUAUGUGUCGUCGUGGUGACAAUGAUCAUCUUUCAAAAUCGGCCUAUGAGAACGUCGCACUGUUGUUUCAAUGUUUGGUGAGCUAUUAUGCGAAAGAUAUUCCACAUCAAUAAGCGCAUGUCCAGUGUUUUUAAAAUGGCACUCAAAACUUCCCAUUAUUGAUGUGUCGCCAAAUAACAAACCGUUGGGUGUGCGUCGUCUAAAGGAAUGCAUUAGUAUCUCCAAGAAACCAAGAACUCUCUAACAGUAUUUCUUACUGGUGGUGCAUCGCGGGACGCCGAAAAGGCUAAGAAUAUGAUGAGUCGUUUGCAUUACACCACCUUGCGGGAGGUAACGGUCAAUACGACUAUUUAUAUGUCCGAUUUCAACCUAACACGCAUCUCGCCGUGGUCGCUGAGUAUCGAAUUUAAAUAUUCGAGGUGUUCGACAUUGAGGCUGUGCGUAAAUCGGUUGAGAAGGAAACGAAUGCUGGGCUGAAGUUCUACGGCUUGUACGUAAACUGUAAGAUAUUUGCAAAUUUUCCAUCAAAAUUCUUAAGCUGGACCAUUUUAUUUUUGAAUGAUAAAAUUUAAGUUACCUAUUAGUAUUAAGCACUAAAUUACUUUAUUGAAAAUAUUAAUACUAACAAUUAGUAAAUUAAUGUAACUAUUAUUAUAAACUGUAAAUUAAACCAUAUCAAACGUUUUUACAAAGAAAUAGUGAUAAUGUAGUCUAUAUAUAAUAUAAAUGUUAGCCAAAAUAAAUAAUUGUAAGAAGGAAAA